rnacentral:rRNA from 1 species
UCUAGAGUNUCGGAGAGGAAAGUGGAAUUCCUAGUGUAGCGGUGAAAUACGUAGAUNUCAGGAAGAACACCAGUGGCGAAGGCGACUUUCUGGACGAAAACUGACGCUGAGGCGCGAAANCCAGGGGAGCGAACGGGAUUAGAUACCCCGGCAGUCCUGGCCGUAAACGAUGGGUACUAGGUGUAGGAGGUAUCGACCCCUUCUGUGCCGGAGUUAACGCAAUAAGUACCCCGCCUGGGGAGUACGACCGCAAGGUUGAAACUCAAAGGAAUUGACGGGGGCCCGCACAAGCGGUGGAGUAUGUGGUUUAAUUCGACGCAACGCGAAGAACCUUACCAGGUCUUGACAUUGAUGGACAGAACCAGAGAUGGUUCCUCUUCUUCAGAAGCCAGAAAACAGGUGGUGCACGGUUGUCGUCAGCUCGUGUCGUGAGAUGUUGGGUUAAGUCCCGCAACGAGCGCAACCCCUAUCUUAUGUUGCCAGCACUUUGGGUGGGGACUCAUGAGAGACUGCCGCAGACAAUGCGGAGGAAGGCGGGGAUGACGUCAAAUCAUCAUGCCCCUUAUGACCUGGGCUACACACGUACUACAAUGGGAGUUAAUAGACGGAAGCGAGAUCGCGAGAUGGAGCAAACCCGAGAAACACUCUCUCAGUUCGGAUCGUAGGCUGCAACUCGCCUACGUGAAGUCGGAAUCGCUAGUAAUCGCAGGUCAGCAUACUGCGGUGAAUACGUUCCCGGGCCUUGUACACACCGCCCGUCACACCACGAAAGUCGGAAGUGCCCAAAGCCGGUGGGGUAACCUUCGGGAGCCAG